rnacentral:rRNA from 1 species
UGGGGAAUUUUGGACAAUGGGGGAAACCCUGAUCCAGCCAUCCCGCGUGUGCGAUGAAGGCCUUCGGGUUGUAAAGCACUUUUGGCAGGAAAGAAACGUCGCGGGUUAAUACCCCGCGGAACUGACGGUACCUGCAGAAUAAGCACCGGCUAACUACGUGCCAGCAGCCGCGGUAAUACGUAGGGUGCAAGCGUUAAUCGGAAUUACUGGGCGUAAAGCGUGCGCAGGCGGUUCGGAAAGAAAGAUGUGAAAUCCCAGAGCUUAACUUUGGGAACUGCAUUUUUAAACUACCGGGCUAGAGUGUGUCAGAGGGAGGUGGAAUUCCGCGUGUAGCAGUGAAAUGCGUAGAUAUGCGGAGGAACACCGAUGGCGAAGGCAGCCUCCUGGGAUAACACUGACGCUCAUGCACGAAAGCGUGGGGAGCAAACAGGAUUAGAUACCCUGGUAGUCCACGCCCUAAACGAUGUCAACUAGCUGUUGGGGUCUUCGGACCUUGGUAGCGCAGCUAACGCGUGAAGUUGACCGCCUGGGGAGUACGGUCGCAAGAUUAAAAACUUAAAGG